rnacentral:rRNA from 1 species
CCUACGGGUGGCAGCAGUGGGGAAUAUUGCGCAAUGGGCGAAAGCCUGAAGCAGCGACGCCGCGUGAGGGAUGAAGGUCUUCGGAUCGUAAACCUCUGUCAGCAGGGAAGAACGGUCACUGUGCUAAUCAGCAGUGAAUUGACGGUACCUGCAAAGGAAGCACAGGAUAAAUCCGUGCAAGCAGCCUCGGUAAUACGGAGGGUGGGAGCGUGAAUUGGAAUUACUGGGCGUAAAGCGCUCGUAGGCGGUAUGUCAAGUCAAGGGUGAAAUCCCCGCGCUCAACGUGGGAACUGCAUUUGAAAAGGGCACACGGGAGUGGGUGAGAGGAUAGUGGAAUUCCAGGUGUAGGAGUGAAAUCCGUAGAGAUCUGGAGGAACAUCAGUGGCGAAGGCGACUAUCUGGCACAUAACUGACGCUGAGGAGCGAAAGCGUGGGUAGCAAACAGGAUUAGAUACCCUUGUAGUC